UACGUAGGGUGCAGGCGUUACUCGGAAUUACUGGGCGUAAAGCGUGCGCAGGCGGUUUUGUAAGCCAGAUGUGAAAGCCCCGGGCUCAACCUGGGAAUGGCAUUUGGGACUGCAAGGCUGGAGUUUGGCAGAGGAGACUGGAAUUCCUGGUGUAGCAGUGAAAUGCGUAGAUAUCAGGAGGAAUACCGAUGGCGAAGGCAGGUCUCUGGGCUAUAACUGACGCUCAUGCACGAAAGCGUGGGGAGCAAACAGG
rnacentral:rRNA from 1 species